rnacentral:rRNA from 1 species
UACGGGAGGCAGCAGUGGGGAAUAUUGCACAAUGGGCGCAAGCCUGAUGCAGCCAUGCCGCGUGUAUGAAGAAGGCCUUCGGGUUGUAAAGUACUUUCAGUCGUGAGGAAGGUGUUAAGGUUAAUAACCUUAGCAAUUGACGUUAGCGACAGAAGAAGCACCGGCUAACUCCGUGCCAGCAGCCGCGGUAAUACGGAGGGUGCGAGCGUUAAUCGGAAUUACUGGGCGUAAAGGGCACGCAGGCGGUUUAAUUAAGUUGGAUGUGAAAUCCCCGGGCUUAACCUGGGAAUGGCAUUCAAGACUGGUUAGCUAGAGUCUUGUAGAGGGGGUAGAAUUCCAUGUGUAGCGGUGAAAUGCGUAGAGAUGUGGAGGAAUACCGGUGGCGAAGGCGGCCCCUGGACAAAGACUGACGCUCAUGUGCGAAAGCGUGGGGAGCAAACAGGGAUUAGAUACC